rnacentral:rRNA from 1 species
UACGUAGGUGGCAAGCGUUGUCCGGAUUUACUGGGCGUAAAGAGCGCGCAGGCGGUCGUUCAAGUCGCGUGUGAAAGCCCCCGGCUCAACUGGGGAGGGUCACGCGAUACUGAUCGACUCGAAGGCAGGAGAGGGUAGUGGAAUUCCCGGUGUAGCGGUGAAAUGCGUAGAGAUCGGGAGGAACACCAGAGGCGAAGGCGGCGACCUGGACAGGCACUGACACUCAACUACGAAAGCGUGGGGAGCAAACAGG